GAUGAACGCUAGCUACAGGCUUAACACAUGCAAGUCGCGGGGCAGCAUGGGGGUUGCUUGCAAUCCCCGAUGGCGACCGGCGCACGGGUGAGUAACGCGUAUCCAACCUGCCCUUCACCACGGGAUAACCCGUCGAAAGUCGGACUAAUACCGUAUGUUGUCCAUUGACGGCAUCCGAUUUGGACGAAAGGUUUGGCGGUGAAGGAUGGGGAUGCGUCCGAUUAGCUGGACGGCGGGGUGACGGCCCACCGUGGCGACGAUCGGUAGGGGUUCUGAGAGGAAGGUCCCCCACACUGGAACUGAGACACGGUCCAGACUCCUACGGGAGGCAGCAGUGAGGAAUAUUGAUCAAUGGGCGUAAGCCUGAACCAGCCAAGUAGCGUGCAGGAUGACGGCCCUAUGGGUUGUAAACUGCUUUUAUGCGGGGAUAAAGUGGCCCACGUGUGGGUUUUUGCAGGUACCGCAUGAAUAAGGACCGGCUAAUUCCGUG
rnacentral:rRNA from 1 species